rnacentral:rRNA from 1 species
CAGAAAUUGGGAAUGGGCGAAGCCUGACCCAGCGACACCGCGUGGGGGAAGAAGACCUUCGGGUUGUAAACCUCUUUUUUCGGGGAAGAAUAAUGACGGUACCCGGCGAAUAAGCCUCGGCUAACUACGUGCCAGCAGCCGCGGUAAUACGUAGGAGGCGAGCGUUAUCCGGAUUCACUGGGCGUAAAGCGGGCGUAGGCGGCCUGUUAAGUCCGAUGUGAAAUCUCCUGGCUUAACUGGGAGGGUGCAUCGGAUACUGGCGGGCUGGAGUGCCGCAGAGGGAGAUGGAAUUCCCGGUGUAGUGGUGAAAUGCGUAGAUAUCGGGAAGAACACUAGUGGCGAAGGCGGUCUCCUGGGCGGUAACUGACGCUGAGGUCCGAAGGCGCGGGGAGCAAACAGGAUUAGAUACCCUGGUAGUCCGCGCAGUAAACGAUGGAUACUAGGUAUGGGGAGUAUCGACCCUCUCCGUGCCGAAGCUAACGCUUUAAGUAUCCCGCCUGGGGACUACGGUCGCAAGACUAAAACUCAAAGGAAUUGACGGA